GAGCACGUAGGUGGGUUUGUAAGUCAGGUGUGAAAGCCUUCUGUCCAAAGGAAGAACGGCAUCUGAAACUGCAGAUCUUGAGUGUAGGAGGGGAGAGUGGAACUUCUGGUGGAGCGGUGAAAUGCGUAGAUAUCAGAAGGAACGUCGGCGGCGAAAGCGACUCUCUGGCCUAUUACUGACACUGAGUGUGCGAAAGUUAGGGGAGCAAACGGGAUUAGAUACCCCGGUAGUCCUAACCGUAAACGAUGGGCACUAAGUAGAGGG
rnacentral:rRNA from 1 species